rnacentral:piRNA from 1 species
UGAGAACUGAAGAGCUAUGUUGCG